rnacentral:misc_RNA from 1 species
GUAGGUGAACCUGCGGAAGGAUCAUUAACACGUAUCCACGUUAAAUCCCCCGUGCACCUUCAUUCACAGGUACGUCGAUCCGCUUAACUGUGGCUCCGGCCUGUGUUGUGUCUCAUUGGCUAAAACAGUGAUUCAUGGGCUCAGCGCUACAUGGCUUUGCGUAUUGAUUGGGUUUCUUUUGGGAGAAGAUGGAAGAGACGACAUUGUCACGCCGUUCUGAGCCGGUGGUGCUGUUCUUAUGGUACACAGU